rnacentral:rRNA from 1 species
CCUACGGGAGACAGCAGUGGGGGAUAUUGCACAAUGGGGGCAACCCUGAUGCAGCGACGCCGCGUGGGCGAAGAAGUAUUUCGGUAUGUUAAGCUCUAUCAGCAGGGAAGAAGAAAUGACGGUACCUGUGUAAGAAGCACCGGCUAAAUACGUGCCAGCAGCCGCGGUAAUACGGAGGGUGCAAGCGUUAUCCGGAUUUACUGGGUGUAAAGGGAGCGCAGGCGGCAAGGCAAGCCUGAUGUGAAAGCCCGAGGCCCAACCGCGGGACUGCAUUGGAAACUGCCGGGCUGGAGUGCCGGAGAGGUAGGCGGAAUGCCUAGUGUAGCGGUGAAAUGCGUAGAUAUUAGGAGGAACACCAGUGGCGAAGGCGGCCUACUGGACGGUGACUGACGCUGAGGCUCGAAAGCGUGGGGAGCAAACAGGAUUAGAUACCCGUGUAGUC